rnacentral:rRNA from 1 species
GACGAAUGCUGGCGGCGUGCUUAACACAUGCAAGUCGAACGGAAAGGCCCUGCUUGCAGGGUACUCGAGUGGCGAACGGGUGAGUAACACGUGUGUGAUCUGCCCUGCACUUCGGGAUAAGCCUGGGAAACUGGGUCUAAUACCGGAUAGUAGCCAUUUUUAGUGCGAUGGUUGGAAAGUUUUUUCGGUGUAGGAUGAGCUCGCGGCCUAUCAGCUUGUUGGUGGGGUAAUGGCCUACCAAGGCGGCGACGGGUAGCCGGCCUGAGAGGGUGGACGGCCACAUUGGGACUGAGAUACGGCCCAGACUCCUACGGGAGGCAGCAGUGGGGAAUAUUGCACAAUGGGCGCAAGCCUGAUGCAGCGACGCCGCGUGGGGGAUGACGGCCUUCGGGUUGUAAACUCCUUUCGCUAGGGACGAAGCUUUUGUGACGGUACCUAGAGAAGAAGCACCGGCUAACUACGUG